AUUGAACGCUGGCGGCAGGCCUAACACAUGCAAGUCGAACGGUAACAGGAAGCAGCUUGCUGCUUCGCUGACGAGUGGCGGACGGGUGAGUAAUGUCUGGGAAGCUGCCUGAUGGAGGGGGAUAACUACUGGAAACGGUAGCUAAUACCGCAUAAUGUCGCAAGACCAAAGAGGGGGACCUUCGGGCCUCUUGCCAUCGGAUGUGCCCAGAUGGGAUUAGCUUGUUGGUGGGGUAACGGCUCACCAAGGCGACGAUCCCUAGCUGGUCUGAGAGGAUGACCAGCCACACUGGAACUGAGACACGGUCCAGACUCCUACGGGAGGCAGCAGUGGGGAAUAUUGCACAAUGGGCGCAAGCCUGAUGCAGCCAUGCCGCGUGUAUGAAGAAGGCCUUCGGGUUGUAAAGUACUUUCAGCGGGGAGGAAGGGAGUAAAGUUAAUACCUUUGCUCAUUGACGUUACCAGCAGAAGAAGCACCGGCUAACUCCGUG
rnacentral:rRNA from 1 species